AGCUCAAUUGGAUAGAGCGUUUGACUACGGAUCAAGAGGUUAUGGGUUCGACUCCUAUC
rnacentral:tRNA from 1 species